rnacentral:rRNA from 1 species
GAUGAACGCUGGCGGCGUGCCUAACACAUGCAAGUCGAACGGGGUUAUUUUGGAAAGUCCUUCGGGCGUGGAAUCUAUAACCUAGUGGCGGACGGGUGAGUAACGCGUGAGCAAUCUGCCUUUAGGAGGGGGAUAACAGUCGGAAAUGGCUGCUAAUACCGCAUAAGCGCACAGUACCGCAUGGUACAGUGUGAAAAACUCCGGUGGUAUGAGAUGGAUCCGCGUCUGAUUAGCUAGUUGGUAAGGUAACGGCUUACCAAGGCAACGAUCAGUAGCCGACCUGAGAGGGUGACCGGCCACAUUGGGACUGAGACACGGCCCAA